GCACAAGGUAGUUCAAAUGUUUGAAUACUCGGAGGGAGAGAAAGAAAGAAAGAAAGAAAGAAAGAAAGAAAGAAAGAAAGAAAGAAAGAAAGAAAGAAAGAAAGAAAGAAAGAAAGAAAGAAAGAAAGAAAGAAAGAAAGAAAGAAAGAAAGAAAGAAAGAAAGAAAGAAAGAAAGAAAGAAAGAAAGAAAGAAAGAAAGAAAGAAAGAAAGAAAGACACCAGUCAGUGAACGAAAUAAUAAUGAGGCACUUCUUGUGCAUGGAAGGCGAGUGUUGGUGGACACCAUGAAAAAAGACCAAUUCAAACAAAAAACAAAAGUCAGUGGGGGAGAUUUGAAGCAUGUGGCCUUUUUUACUGAAAGCAGAAAGAGCAAACAUCAACUAGGAUUCUACUUUCGGCGAUACAGCAUUCUAAUUAAGAGAAGACACCAGAGGCAAAUCUAUUGACUCCUCCCUGAGCUCACCACUCAAAUGACACCCCAAGGCUUCUUCAUCCUGGUUGGAAGCUGAUGGCGGCUCGCCUUGACUGCUUAUCUUCUGCCUGUGGCCGUUCGUCGGCUGUUCGGGCCUCGUCUUAUCAGGACCCGGCCUGCUCGGAUUGGAGGGUUCGUGGGAAGUAUACAUAGAACCUGUCCUUUGCUUAUCUACACCCAGGAGGCUGUGUGUGUGUGUGUAGGAUGGAGAAAGAAAAGCCUGUUUCCAUGACAACCUCUUCCUCCCCCCCCCCCUUCUCUCUCUCUCUCGAGGAGAACCCUGGUGGUCUUUGUGUAAUGCGAUUCCACCAGAAUGCACCGUGGAUUAGAGCUCCACAGCCUUCGGGCCCAAGGCAGGCCAGUGAAGACAUGAUUACCCAGAUCAAAUGCUGUAAUCACUUGGCACUGGAGGCUUUCACAUCCAUUCCAGAUAAAACCUCAAACUGGCAAUGCUCAGGUGAUUAAAGGAUUAUUAUUCUGCGUUUCACCACGGUGACGGUCACUCUCAUUCCCCUGGCGUCAGAAGAAAGGUUGUGACCAGAACCCAGCGGCGCUCGCUCCAUGGAUUGACAUUCAACCAGCCCUCCCUUUUAAAUGUUCCUGAGGCUCUUGUCUCGGCUCCAACAAUACAGUCACAAGUGGAGCGUGUUUUUAUGUUUGCUGUACAACGCUCGGCAUGGGCUCCUCCAUGAGAACCGGCUGAAACCUCUCGAGGUGGAUUCGGAAGGCGAGGCAAUGACCCGAAACUCCC